CGGUAGCUUAGUGGUAGAGCAGGGGACUCUUAAUUCCAAGGGCACAGGUUCAAACCCCGUUC
rnacentral:tRNA from 1 species